rnacentral:rRNA from 1 species
GACGAACGCUGGCGGCGUGCUUAACACAUGCAGGUCGAGCGGUAAGGCCCUUUCGGGGGUACACGAGCGGCGAACGGGUGAGUAACACGUGGGUGACCUGCCCUCAGCUCUGGGAUAAGCCUGGGAAACUGGGUCUAAUACUGGAUAUGACUCCACGGUGCAUGUCGUGGGGUGGAAAGCCUUGUGCGGCUGAGGAUGGGCCCGCGGCCUAUCAGCUUGUUGGUGGGGUGANGGCCUACCAAGGCGACGACGGGUAGCCGGCCUGAGAGGGCGACCGGCCACACUGGGACUGAGACACGGCCCAGACUCCUACGGGAGGCAGCAGUGGGGAAUCUUGCGCAAUGGGCGAAAGCCUGACGCAGCGACGCCGCGUGAGGGAUGACGG